CAGAGCUGAGCAGCUCGUGACCAUGGUGACGGAAGAGAACUCUCACAGUUUUUAAUGCAGUUCUACUCCACUUUAGCUUCCCCUUCCUCUAGCUUGUUCUUCCUCCCCUCUCCUCUCAUUUCCACUCCUCUCAUCAACCAUGAAACCAUUCAUGAAACACCUGGCACGCCUGCUAUGUCUACGUACUCGAGGGCGGAGGGGCGCAGACCGUCAAAGGCAUCGCCGCCGUGCAUAUGCUUGGUGGUCGUGGCGACGUCUGCCUCGCGCCCGACCCCGACUUGUAGCAGCCGCGCGCCUCGAUCGAUCUAUCGCGUGGACUAGCUAGGUGCCGCGCGAGAGGGAAGUACCUCUGGUCGGCGACAUUGCGCGGGUUGCGGGCGUGUGCCGCUCGAUCGCAGUUUCCUCAGUUCCAUCCAAUGUGUCAGUUCCCUUUCGAUUACUCUUGGGUUCCUUAUUUUAACCAAAUUAGUAGUUCAUUUUCUUUUUAGGUCUCAAUUUGAAUACCAAUCCACCUCAAGUCGAUGUGGAGCGUGCUCGUCAACAUCGGCCCAGCAUUGUUAUCGUUUACCCUGUCAAAGUGAUUGAUGGCCGUCGAGUCGUUAUGCAUGGUGCGGGCUCUGGAUUUAUCAUCAGUUCUACAGCAGAUGGCAAGUGCAUUGUACUCACAUGUCGCCAUGUGGUCAAAGGAAGCAAGGGCUUUGACCCAGCUACGGAUUUGCUGCGUAUUAGGUUUCUGCAGGGUGUUGAAGAGGACAUGCAAGGUCAAUUAAUAUUAGAAGAUCCAUUUUUAGACAUUGCCUUCAUCUUAGUUAGUAACAUGCCAAUUAUGCUGCCGGCGUUGCGUUUUGCCCCGGGAGUGGAUUUGCCAGUCGGCACUCCUGUCUUCCUCCUAGGAAACUGCUUUCUGGAGCAACUCCCAGGCUGCAAUAUUCAAACUGCAAUUAUGCCAACAAUACCUACUGUAUCCCCAGGUGGAAUAAGUGCACCAUGCAAAGUGGAAUAUGGUCCUCAUAUAACAAGAAGAGAGAUUCAAUUUACAUGCCCAAACAAAGCAGGUUACUCUGGAAGUCCCCUCCUGCAUGAAGAAAAGGUUAUUGGAAUACUAGGGCGUGGCGCAUACCAAGCAUCACUUGCAGUUUGCACUGAAAAUUUGAUCACCUUUUUGGAAACGAGGCUUGGUGUGGACGAAGGUACGAUCCCUGUUGAAGACUUGAUCCAGAUGUUAUAUCAGUACCGUACUUAGGCUAAUCUGUUAGCAUGGAGAUAAGAUCAACUUAAGCAUUUCUACACAUGCGUCUGUAUUAUCUGUAAGCAUCGAGAUGCAGCACUAUUCUUUAGAGCGGUGUUAGCCUAUCCUUUAGGAUCAACUCAAGUACUCCUACAUGCUUGGAACUAUUGACAUUUUAAUAUCUGCCGCUCUUAUUUUGGCGCCUUUGGAUAUUAUCUAUUUGCAACUAUUGUUGAAGUUUCA